AUUGAACGCUGGCGGCAGGCCUAACACAUGCAAGUCGAACGAGUGGCGGACGGGUGAGUAAUGUCUGGGAAACUGCCUGAUGGUGGGGGAUAACUACUGGAAACGGUAGCUAAUACCGCAUACCAUCGGAUGUGCCCAGAUGGGAGUAGCUAGUAGGUGGGGUAACGGCUCACCUAGGCGACGAUCCCUCGCUGGUCUGAGAGGAGGACCAGCCACACUGGAAGUGAGACACGGUCAAGACUCAUACGGGAGGAAGCAGAGGGGAAUAAUGCACAAUGGGAGCAAGCCUGAUGCAGCCAAGCCGGGUGUGAGAAGAAGGACUUCGGGUUGUAAAGCAGUUUCAGCGGGGAGACGUUACCCGCAGAAGAAGCACCGGCUAACGCCAUGCCAGCAGCCGCGGUAAUAC
rnacentral:rRNA from 1 species